UUAAUGGAGGAGACAGUUGACAAUGAGAGCCUUUGUUGUGAGCUUCGUGUACUUUUCAGCUUCAUAGCAAUGAAGUUGAAUCUCACUACUGGUUUUGUUCUUUCUCUCAAUGUCUCUGCUGGCCUUCUGGGGUUCUUCUUCGUCAAAACUGGGACUAAAUUUCUUGAAAAAUUCAGUUUUUUAAAGCAACCCUUUACCGGGCAAGAGAACACAGUCAUUCAAACCUGUGUUGUGGCCUCUUCAGGCAUAGCCGUCAGUGGUAAUGUUAAUUUUCAGCCUCUUUCUUUCUACUUUACUUAAAGUUUCAAUUUUUACACGUUUGUUUAAAUAAUUUAAGGCUAGUUUGAUUUUACUGGAAGAUUUGGUUGCAAAAGACUUAAUUGUGUGUAAGUUAACUCCAAAUUAUGCCAGUUUCUCCAAGUCAAUUUAUGGGUUCAAGGCUUAUAGAUUAGCUGGACUACCAGUUUGAAUGGGGACUUAAAAAUAGUCUAAGAAGGCAACUAUGGGAGCCACUCCACCAAAUUUUAUAGUGUAGCUAGGGUGGAUCGGAUCCAGGCUGGUUCAGUUCAAAAUUGAUUCAUUUUGUCAAUCCAGUGAAUUUAAUCACAUCGGUUAGAACUCGAAUUUAGUUAGAAUCAAAUGUGUCAAAUUCAAGCCAAAGAUUCUACUGUUUUUUAUAAAUGAGUAGAGUUUGUACCGAUUUAACUAUUCAUGUUUAAAUUAAUUUCAACAAAAUAUAAAAUUAAAUUAUUUUCAAAUUGAGUUUGAACAUUAACUGGUUGAUUUUAAAUUAACUCUUUUAAAUGUAAAUGAUUAUUAAUUUAUGACUUGUUUCAAAUGCGACUGAGAUUGAAUUAGCCCGAUUAGGGGUGGAUCCGAUCUAGGCUGGUUCGAUGCGAAAUUGAUUCACGAAUUGGUCUAUUGCAUCCACCUAUGGAAAGCUUGCCAUCUUUACAAUUGGGGCUUUGGCAGAUUCUGAGCAUGUUGGUAUUCUGGCUGGCUUAGCAGCCAGUGGAGGCAUGAUCAACAUUGUUUCAACUGCCUCUGAUCUUUCACAAGAUUUCAGAAAGUACUUCUCAGGAGGAUGAAAACUAUGCUCCAAAAUUGAAGAAUACUAGUGCCCACACAUUCGAGGGAACAAAUAGCAAGCAUGUUGCUGUAAAUCGCUUGACAAUUGAACCUAAAGAUCAAAACUUUUCUGCAGUUGAAACUGAUUUGGUCAAGAUUCUGCUGGCAGUGAAUCAUGUCUGUUGGAUGCAAUUGGCAUCUGAAGCUGUUCAGAUGGCCACUGGUUCUCCAAUUACUGAGUUUGAAAGACUUCUCCACUUUUCCUCUUCAGUCAUUUGUCAUUCUUCAAAUGUAAUAAGCUGUAAUAGGUGCUUACAGGACCAGGUUGUUGGGGCAUCUUUGUGCAGACAUGAGAUACCUAAUAUCUCAUUGGAAUGCAUGUGGCAGUGGUAUGAAAAGCAUGGAAGCUAUAGUUUAGAAAUAAAGGCAGAUGAUUUUGCAGAGUGAAAUAGAUUGGGAGUUGAUCAGUUCUCAUUUCGUGCCUAUUUUGUUCCCUUUUUGUCAGCAGUUCAGUUGUCAUUGGGAGAUCCAUCUAGUUUGACCUCGGUAAAUCUUCAUGAUCUGCGUCCUACAUCCUGAGUGAAUGCUGGUUCCAGCGGAAGCACCCUGCUAUGAACCAGACAGCAGAAAGCUCCGGCUUAAACCCUUCCAGGAUUCUGAAGGUGCGGCUGAGGACACUUGAGGAGACAGCAUGUCAUAUGUCAAAAGCUGUCGUCGAUAAAGGAAAUCAAACUUGUGUAAAUAGACAUCCUGACUAUGAGUUCUUCCGCACAAGACAGCAUCGUUAGAUUUCCUUUAUUUCUAUAGUCAGUUGAUGAUGUAACAAGGAUGUUACUGAAAUAUCUUCAGACAGAAACUAGCUAACCUCUUGUUCCUUCC